rnacentral:rRNA from 1 species
GACGGGGGGGGCAAGUGUUCUUCGGAAUGACUGGGCGUAAAGCGCGCGUAGGCGGCCACUUAAGUCGGAUGUGAAAGCCCCUGGCUCAACUGGGGAAGUGCACCCGAAACUGAAUGGCUUGAAUGCAAAAGAGGGUCGCGGAAUUCCCGGUGUAGAGGUGAAAUUCGUAGAUAUCGGGAGGAACACCGGUGGCGAAGGCGGCGACCUGGGUUGACAUUGACGCUGAGGCGCGAAAGCGUGGGGAGCAAACAGG